rnacentral:rRNA from 1 species
GACGAACGCUGGCGGCGUGCUUAACACAUGCAAGUCGAACGGUGAUCUUGAGAGCUUGCUCUUGGGUGAUCAGUGGCGAACGGGUGAGUAACACGUGAGUAACCUGCCCCUGACUCUGGAAUAACUUCGGGAAACCGAAGCUAAUACCGGAUAUGACACAGAGCCGCAUGGUUUCUGUGUGGAAAGUUUUUCGGUUGGGGAUGGACUCGCGGCCUAUCAGCUUGUUGGUGAGGUAAUGGCUCACCAAGGCGACGACGGGUAGCCGGCCUGAGAGGGCGACCGGCCACACUGGGACUGAGACACGGCCCAGACUCCUACGGGAGGCAGCAGUGGGGAAUAUUGCACAAUGGGCGAAAGCCUGAUGCAGCGACGCCGCGUGAGGGAUGAAGGCCUUCGGGUUGUAAACCUCUUUCAGUAGGGAAGAAGCGCAAGUGACGGUACCUCCGGAGGAAGCCACGGCUAACUACGUGCCAGCAGCCGCGGUAAGCCUCGUCUCUA